CCAGACUCCUACGGGAGGCAGCAGUGGGGAAUAUUGCACAAUGGGGGAAACCCUGAUGCAGCGACGCCGCGUGAGUGAAGAAGUAAUUCGUUACGUAAAGCUCUAUCAGCAGGGAAGAAACACUGACCUUACGGUCAGCAGACGGUACCUGAGCAAGAAGCCCCGGCUAACUACGUGCCAGCAGCCGCGGUAAUACGUAGGGGGCAAGCGUUAUCCGGGUUUACUGGGUGUAAAGGGAGCGUAGACGGUGCGCCAAGUCUGGAGUGAAAUGCCGGAGCUUAACCGCGGGACUGCUUUGGAAACUGGCGAGCUAGAGUGCAGGAGGGGUAAGCGGAAUUCCUAGUG
rnacentral:rRNA from 1 species